rnacentral:rRNA from 1 species
GAAGUUGGAAUUGCUAGUAAUCGCGAAUCAGAAUGUCGCGGUGAAUACGUUCCCGGGCCUUGUACACACCGCCCGUCACACCAUGAGAGUCGAUAACACCCGAAGCCUGUGAGCUAACCUUUUAGGAGGCAGCAGUCGAAGGUGGGGUUGAUGAUUGGGGUGAAGUCGUAACAAGGUAGC